rnacentral:lncRNA from 1 species
AUUCUUUACGAUUACCAUCAGGAUUUAGUUUAAUUUUAAAAGAUUGUUAUUAUGCUUCUGUAGUUAGUAGAAAUUUGAUUUCUGUAUCUAUACUGAUAUAGGAUAAUUAUAAUUUCUAUUUUAAUAAAGACUUAUGCAUAAUUUAUUUUGAAAAUAAAUGUGUUGCACGUGCCUAUUUGAUAGACGAUCUUUAUCAUUUGCAUGUGGAUGCAAGUGUUAAUGUUAACGAGCAAAUAGUGAAUACUGUAGGGUCUAAGAGAUCUAGAGAUAGAAUUAGCUAAAAGUAUCUGUGGUACCUAAACCUAGGUC